rnacentral:sRNA from 1 species
CUUGGUCAUUUAGAGGAAGUAAAAGUCGUAACAAGGUUUCCGUAGGUGAACCUGCGGAAGGAUCACUAGUGAUUAAAUCGAGAGCGUCUUAAUUGACCUCUCACCCUUCACAUCCACAUACACCCUGUGAAUCGUUUGGCUUUUCAUUAAUAGAGCGCAAGCUCGACAAGUGAAAAGUCAUCAUUUAUACAUACCCCAGUCUUAUGAAUGUAACAGUUUUAAUAAACAUAAUAAAACUUUUAACAACGGAUCUCUUGGUUCUCGCAUCGAUGAAGAACGCAGCGAAAUGCGAUAAGUAAUGUGAAUUGCAGAAUUCAGUGAAUCAUCGAAUCUUUGAACGCACCUUGCGCUCCUUGGUAUUCCGAGGAGCAUGCCUGUUUGAGUGUCAUGAAACUCUCACCCUUCAACUUUCUUAAUAGUGGUUGCAGGCGUGGACUUGAGCGCUGCUGGUCUUUAUUGACCGGCUCGCUUGAAAUGAAUUAGCAGAUCCUUUUUGUAAUCGGUUCCACUCGACGUGAUAAGUAUUUCGCCGAGGACAUCUUAACGGAUGGCCGAGAUAAGAAAAGUCUUUUAGAUCCGCUUCUAAUUCUUAGCCCUACGCAAGUAAGCUAAACCCAUUUUAUGAUCUGGCCUCAAAUCAGGUAGGACUACCCGCUGAACUUAAGCAUAUCAAUAAGCGGAGGAAAAGAAACUAACAAGGAUUCCCCUAGUAACGGCGAGUGAAGCGGGAUGAGCUCAAAUUUAAAAUCUUGCAGCCUCAGGUUGUACGAGUUGUAGUCUAGAGAAUCGUUUUCCGCGUUGGCCUGUGUACAAGUCCCUUGGAACAGGGCGUCAUAGAGGGUGAGGAUCCCGUCCUUGACACAGAUCUCCAGUGCUUUGUGAUGCGCUCUCAAAGAGUCGAGUUGUUUGGGAAU